UGCUUUUUUGUCAUUUGUGGCUACGUAAGAUUUAUGACUUCAUGCAUCAAGGCAGUAAACAAGUGUAGAACAGGAACUCGCAGCGCCUUGCUCCUUACACAUUUAUCGCCACAAAAAAAGUGGAGAAAGACGGACGGCGUAGGUGUGGAGAAGCUGACAAAAAUUCUUCCGCGUGCAAUUUAGCAACCCGAUGAAUGUAGCUUUUGAAGAGAGACCUCCUGGACAAUAAUUAACUGCCUUGCCUUUCAAAGUGCUGAUUCGGAUUUCUUUUUUAGCCCGUGUUAAAUACCGGGUUAAAUGUCACAAAACGAAACCUGGGCAGAUGCAGAUGGGCUUUUCGGAGGAGCCGUCUUUAUUUCAGUUAAAAGCGAGAGGCCGAAGAGGAUCUGAUCAAAGACGCGAGAAGCAACAGCCCGACCGUGAGGCGCUAAAGAUCUUAUUGGCAAGUCUGCACAAAGCGGUGCCGGGCUGGACGCAGACCUUGUUCUUUCAGGCACCGGUUGUUCAUUUAAAAAAAUGGAAGCGGCACUGAAGUGACUGCGGCUUUCUCCAAAGGGCUGGUCUUUAAACUCAUGGAAGACCAACACCUCCGCACAGCGAAGACUGGCGCUCAAGAUCAUCUCCUGUCCGGAUCAGCCAGGCGUUCGCUCUCAGAAUCUUUUGGAAUAUUUGGUGAUUUCCUGAAUGUUUUCUAUGUCUCUCGGCUACUCAGGAGGAUUCGUUCUUAUUUCUGAUGCUGCUGUGUGAAGAUAUGGAAGGCACUGGAGCUGUGAGGAGGAUCUGGAGAAUGUCUUGAACCUUCAACAGUCACAACAAUCGUGGACGGAUAGCAGACAUGUGCUCCCACUGGGGUGAAAGUUUUUUCUGAGCCUGAGGAUUUCACUGGUCCCUGAAUAAGAGGCGGUUUGAGCUUGGGUCUGUUAGGAAAGAGGCGAAAGCAGAGUGAAAAAAGGAGCCGAUGGGAAAUAGAGAAUUGUGGGCGAAGAAUAUAUAUAUAUUUCUUUGUUGUGUUGUGAUCUGCUGUUUUGUCUCUGUCCCCCGUGACUCGAAUCGCUGCUAUUUUCAAUGGUGCUCCUCCAGACGUGUGGGUGGUGUACAACACUAAGUGCCUAUAUUGUACCAUCUGUGGAUCUUUGCCAAAUGGUAAUACAUAUCUCCACACAAUGCUGACAUGUAUUGCUAUAACAUAAAAGCUAAGGUUACCGGAUUCACUCAGUUUCUAACAAGGCUGUUUCAGAUGCGUUAACGUCAAGGGUUCAGAAGGGAAUUAACUUUCGCUUUUUUUUUAUUUUACCGGUGAGCUGCCGGUUUGAAAGCCAGACCUGAGUGGAUUUUAUUUUUAAAAGACAUUUUUUUUUAAGUCGAGGAUCGGCGCGAACUCAGUAUCAAUCACAUCAUAGUCUUUGAAGCGUAAAACACAAUUUAAAGAAUGAAUGAAAAUUCAGAGGAGCAUAAGGACAGAUGACAAGAAAGGUACAGGGGUGUUGGAAUGAUUUCGUACCAAUGUGGUUACAAGUCUACAAGCAAGAGAAUAACAGGAGAUCACGGCUGCCAUCCUGCUAUUAGAAACUAUAAUUAGCGGGUUCAAACAUUGAAUAUCAGAAACUGACUUCUUGCGAUUGCUCACACUGUCAACCAGUUCCUUAUAUCACUCGAACUCACAAUUCUAAUGGUUUAGACUACAAGAACCUCAUCUCCAACAACUGCAUUUUCAAUGUGCGGAUGCCUUCGCACCAAAACACGAUUAUUGAACUUUGAAAAACGAAAUGCCAUUAUCUUACACGUAAAUCUUAUUCAUCUAAAGGCAGACUGCUUUGUCGCCCGUUGCAAAACACCACUUCCUAAUUAUUCUGAUAGGUGCAUUGAUUAAGAUUAAAUCAUGAAAACUUCUGUUGUGUUUAUAAUAUCCUGAAACGAAUAGUUUUUAAAGCAAAAUGAAAAUGCGGCAAAUAUAAAACAAACUCUGGAACACAACACAUCCCCAUAGGCGAUAGCUUGCUCAAGGUCCAUUAAAGACAGGAAACACGAGGAAGCCCGUCUGAGGCCUUUCUUCAUAUUCUCAUACACAAAGACAAGAGCAGUGUAAAUCAGAGCACUUUCAGUGCGUCCGAUUAGUACAAUUUACCCGUCCGCGUUUCCUCGGCUUUAUGAUAAGUGAAACCAAGUCGGUUCAGUUUCAUGGAAAUCUAAAGUAGUUUAUUUACAGAAAACCACAAAGAGGAACAAUGACCUUAGCCGAAAACUGUAAAUCUUUAACACAUGGAAGAAGUGUCCCCUUUCUUAUUCAGUGCUUUUAGUCCCAGAGGCAUGGAGACUCUCUUCUGUGAGCCUUCACAAAUCAAUUGGAAAUUCGAGAAAUUGGCAUGAGUCCACAUUUGACUAGUUUAAGCGUCAGUCAGAAAUUGUUCAUAUUUUAUCUCAUUUUGCCACACGCGUGUAAUAAAAAGACAUUCAAAGAGUAUCAACGAGCAAAACACACUUCUGAAGGAAGCAACGUGAAUUUAAAAAUGUAUUGUAAAAUAGUUUUUGUUCAAAAGAGAUAAGAGAUAAGUCUUAAAAUCAGAAACAAAAACACGAUGUUUUAUUUUUUAACGCAAUAUGGCUUCUUAAACAAUGGGGUACUUUUAAGUUAACAACGUGCAUUAUUUUUAGUUUUACGUUAAUUAUAAAACGCGUCGUUCUUUUUCAUAGGGAUCGCGUAGCUGUUAACAUAUUUGAGUGUUAAGCCGUACAGAAAUGCCUCGAUAUACUUUCGACUGAGGACCAGUCAGGUGUCAUCGGGUACUAACCGCUCUAAUCAGAAGUUCUUUGGAAGAAAAAGAAUCGUUUCGUCGAUAAACUGACUUCUUUAUUUGAAUAUAAUGUUUUGUUUUUCAAUAUUUUCAUUCUAUCUAAACGGAUUGUCAUUGGCUUGUUUUAAGAAGAAGACAUUACAGUUUUACAGUUUUGGUCAUUUACAAGGCGGAAAUCAAAGUUGCUUUUUCUUAGCCAUUUUACUGAACAUUCCGUGUGUAUUUGUGUUUCUGUUCAUUAAAGGGAAUGCCA